CUCAGAGAGCUGGAGAGACAUGGUGGAGCUCAGAGAGCUGGAGAGAGACAUGGUGGAGCUCAGAGAGCUGGAGAGAGACAUGGUGGAGCUCAGAGAGCUGGAGAGAGACAUGGUGGAGCUCAGAGCUGGAGAGAGAUGGUGGAGCUCAGAGAGCUGGAGAGAGACAUGGUGGAGCUCAGAGAGAGACGUGAUGGAGCUCAGAGAGAGACGUGGUGGAGCUCAGAGAGACACAUGGUGGAGCUCAGAGAGAGACGUGGUGGAGCUCAGAGAGCUGGAGAGAGACAUGGUGGAGCUCAGAGAGCUGGAGAGAGACAUGGUGGAGCUCAGAGAGCUGGAGAGAGACAUGGUGGAGCUCAGAGAGCUGGAGAGAGACAUGGUGGAGCUCAGAGAGCUGGAGAGAGACGUGGUGGAGCUCAGAGAGAGACGUGGUGGAGCUUUGAGAGAGACGUGGUGGAGCUCAGAGAGAGACGUGGUGGAGCUCAGAGAGAGA
ensembl:lncRNA